CAGGACCUGCUGAACCUGGGGCCCUAUAGGAGAGCACUGACGGCCCACCCCUGAACGUGGUCCUGGUCUUCAUGUUUGCAUCAGCCUCAGCCAUCUCAACACCACAAUGGAAACAUAGCCAAGUUAGAGAAGAGCCCUUCAUAUUAUUAAGCUGCUAAAUUAACUAAUCUUGGAAACUUUUGGACAUAACAAUUCUUGUGGUAUGAGAACUUCUAGCAACUAACCCUGGCAUGACCACCAGAAUCUGCAGGGCUGAGAGAAGGAAAGAAAGGCCAAAAGUGGACGAAUGAAGCUGAAAAUGCUAUGGAACUCCUAUCACAUUCCAAGUGCUGUGUUGAUAUCUGGAGAUACAGACAAGAUCAAAGCAGAUGCAGAGUCUUUCACAUGAAUAUUUGAAUCAGGUAAUAUGUUCCCCAAAUUAGCAAAGUAUCUCCCAGAUUCUUUCUUUGAUGAUAUAUUUGAAAUCCUAACACUGAAAGUUAAAUUAUCAGGGUUUUAAAACUAGAAGCAGUCAUUAUCAGAAUUUUAUACAUUAUUUAUUUUUAAGAACAUAAAUUGUCUAAGUCUUAUUAUAAUUUUAAGUGAAGUACUUUGGGCAGUCACAAAUAAAGUAAUGGGCAGGUAUUUAGU